CUGGUCUUCCCGGAGUCAGGUUGCUUGGGAAUGCCGACCAAAGCAAGGAGUAAACUCCAUCGAAGGCUAAAGACCAGCACCAG